rnacentral:rRNA from 1 species
UACGUAGGUGGCAAGCAUUAUCCGGAUUUACUGGGCGUAAAGGGUGCGUAGGCGGAUUUUUAAGUGGGAUGUGAAAUACCCGGGCUCAACUUGGGUGCUGCAUUCCAAACUGGAAAUCUAGAGUGUGGGAGAGGAAAGUGGAAUUCCUAGUGUAGCGGUGAAAUGCGUAGAGAUUAGGAAGAACACCAGUGGCGAAGGCGACUUUCUGGACCAUAACUGACGCUGAGGCACGAAAGCGUGGGGAG